AUUCUACCAGCAAAGCUUGGUUGUCAAGUUUAGGAACAAUGUUUCCUUUCCGGGGUGAUGAAGAGGUGACACAGAGGCUAAGAACACUCACAGUUCCUGCAGAAGACCUGUGCUUGGUUCUGAGUGUCCGCAUGGUGACUCAUAACUGUCUGUAACUCCAAUUCCAGGGGAUGUGAUUCCUUCCUCCGGUCUGCAAGGGAACUGCAAAACACUAUACAUAUAAAAUAAAAAUAAUUCUUUUUCAAAACUAAUCCUUUUUUUUUUUAAUGCAUGUUGCCACAUGAGUGCAGUGCCAACAGAGGCCAGAAGGGGGCGUAAGAUCCCUGGAGCUUGAAUUACUGGAGGUUGUAAGAAGCCUAAUUUACAGAACUGAGAACCAAAUCUGGAUCCUCUGGAAAGGCAAUAUAUGCUCUUUACCAAUGAGCAUCUCUCGAGGCACACACUCCCCUCGUCUGCCUUCUUUCUUUCCUUUCUUUAUUUUAUUUAUCUAUUUUAUGUAUUUAUUUAUGUAUUUAUGUAUUUAUGUGUUUAUUUGUUUGUUUGUUUGUUUGUUUAAAGAUGGAGUUCUUUGACCCAGGCCUGCCACCAUGCCCCAGUUUAUGCAGUGCUGGAGAUAGACCAGCAUUCUACCGACAUCCCCAGCACCUUUUUUUUUUUCUUAAACCAAAAACUAGUCAAGAACAGUUGAGGGCCUGCCCAAGGCUAGAGAAGGUGGGAACACGUGGGGUUUUGGGUUUUUU
rnacentral:lncRNA from 1 species